CGGCGGACGGGUGAGUAAUGCCUAGUAAUCUGCCUGGUAGUGGGGGACAACGUUUCGAAAGGAACGCUAAUACCGCAUACGUCCUACGGGAGAAAGCAGGGACCUUCGGGCCUUGCGCUAUCAGAUGAGCCUAGGUCGGAUUAGCUAGUUGGUGAGGUAAUGGCUCACCAAGGCGACGAUCCGUAACUGGUCUGAGAGGAUGAUCAGUCACACUGGAACUGAGACACGGUCCAGACUCCUACGGGAGGCAGCAGGG
rnacentral:rRNA from 1 species